UACAGAGGGUGCAAGCGUUAAUCGGAAUUACUGGGCGUAAAGCGUGCGCAGAUGGUUAUGUAAGUCGGGUGUGAAAGCCCUGGGCUCAACCUGGGAAUUGCAGUGGAUACUGGGCGACUAGAGUGUGGUAGAGGGUAGUGGAAUUCCCGGUGUAGCAGUGAAAUGCGUAGAGAUCGGGAGGAACAUCCAUGGCGAAGGCAGCUACCUGGACCAACACUGACACUGAGGCACGAAAGCGUGGGGAGCAAACAGG
rnacentral:rRNA from 1 species